AACAAACGCUGGCGGCGUGCCUAAUACAUGCAAGUCGAACGGGGAAAGCUUUCGAGUGAGUACUAGUGGCGCACGGGUGAGUAACGCGUGGAUAAUCUGCCUUAGAGUGGGGGAUAACUAGUCGAAAGAUUAGCUAAUACCGCAUAAGACCACAAGAACUGCGGUUCAAGGGGUCAAAGGUUUUUCGCUCUAAGAUGAGUCCGCGUAAGAUUAGCUAGUUGGUAGGGUAACGGCCUACCAAGGCGACGAUCUUUAACUGGUCUGAGAGGAUGAUCAGUCACACUGGAACUGAGACACGGUCCAGACUCCUACGGGAGGCAGCAGUAGGGAAUAUUUCACAAUGGAGGAAACUCUGAUGCAGCGACGCCGCGUGAGUGAUGAAGGCCUUCGGGUCGUAAAGCUCUGUCGCAGGGGAAUAACACAAUGAAGGUACCCUGUAAGAAAGGAUCGGCUAACUUCGUGCCAGCCGCCGCAGUAACAC
rnacentral:rRNA from 1 species